GUGUAUAAAGCAGCCAUGUUUUAUGGUACAAUGGUUUAUGGUUUGAAUAUAUGAAUAUAAAAAAUAUUGUUCUUAAUUUUCCCCAUUGGUGGGGUGAAAUAAAUGAACAACCAAUAAGAUUUAAGCUUAUUGGCAGGUCUGGACGAAACAAUUAAUAUAUGUUUAAGAACUGUUGCCAUUUCUUCAACUCGGCCUGUAACCGCCAGAAAACUAAAGAAGAGGAAGAAUUUUUCGUCAACUCGUUUUCAUCCCGCUUGACGCAGUCUCUGCGCAUGCGCAAUGUUAAAUGGACGCAGGUGUUCGGAAUCGAGACGACGACGACGAACUUCAGAUGUGUGGCAGCACAACUAGGUGCUCAUUGAUUGGCAGUGUCGGUUCUGCUUUGCCAAAAGGAGUGAAAUCCAGGAGGAGGAGGAGGUGGUCCAGUCGGAACAUUUUCUAUGCAGAUUUAAAAUCGAAAUUCAACUUCAUUUACCACUUUUGAGUUCAGUCGCAUAUCUGGCAAAAACCUGCAAACCGAAUUUUCAAGAACUGGACAGAUUCACUCAACGGUUCAUUCAUAUCUUCAAGGCCAAAGGGGGAGACAUUGGAUGUAAGCUUAAGAAGAUUCUGCAACAGAUUGAAAAUGAGAAAUCUGAAAUCAUUGGUAGGCGAACAGCCGUUCUUCAUGGCCUUCCACUUCUCCUUAGAGCAGACCCGACUGAUUUUUACAAGACAUGUUUUGACUGUGAUGACAAAGGAGAGAUGUCCGGAAUUUCAAUCGGAAUAUUGUUUGUGAUACCUGAGGACUCUGCAACCGUGCCUUACUGUUUGCAUCUGGAUGCCACAUUCACUGCAAUUAUUUUGGAAGGUAGAGUUGUAAUGGAUGAUCUGGGAAACCUUCCCAAAGCAAUGUGCCUGCUUUUUUGGCUCAUUUAUGCUCUGAAUGUAGAGUAUCCUGCUGUACUGAAGAACAUGUUUGAUUUCUUUCAAAGUGUGAUUGUCACUCGGGGCAAGUCUCUCAAACCUGAAAAAUCGCCUGUUGCUGUAACAUUGUUGUGCCAUGAUUGACCAUUUUUCAGUUUGUUCAGAAUUGACCAUUGCGGAGAUAGAAAAUAGUAAUCAGGAAUGUAAUUUUAUAUUUUAGAAUAUAGUGUAGUCUUUAAAGAAACUUUUAAAAUAAAUAGGAAGGUUGUUCAGUACUAAAAAAACAGAAGAAUCUUUUGUUUCCUGUAGGAAAACGUGCAAUUUGCUUAACAGGGUUAAGUGGUUUGUUUUAGAAAAGGUGCUAAUUUUAGAAAAAAAUGCUGUAUUUCACCACUGUUAGAAAAGGUAAAAAUGUCAAAAAAGGGAGCAUUGAUUGUAUGUAAUUGCUGUAUGUGAAAAAAUGCAGUGUGCUGUGUUGAUUUGAAGGCAUGACAUUGUUUUAUGGAACAAAUAAAUGUCCCAGUGUUGUGUCAAAGA